GAUGAACGCUGGCGGCGUGCUUAACACAUGCAAGUCGAACGGGAAAUCCAUUUCGGUGGAUGGAGAGUGGCGCACGGGUGAGUAACACGUAGCUCAUCUGCCCUCAAGCGGGGGAGUAACGGUUACGGAAGGACUGCUAAGAACCCACUAAGCUCACGGGAAGGUAGCACACGGUGAGAAAGACUGAGGCGCUUGAGGAGGAGGC
rnacentral:rRNA from 1 species